CAUCCCUAUGAAGAUCACCAAUUGGAAUAAAAGUAGUGGACUGAUCACUGUUGAUGAGUGUUUACGAUUCUGAGGGAUA